AGUGAACGCUGGCGGUAGGCCUAACACAUGCCAGUCGAACGGCAGCACAGUAAGAGCUUGCUCUUACGGGUGGCGAGUGGAGGACGGGUGAGGAAUACAUCGGAAUCUACUUUUUCGUGGGGGAUAACGUAGGGAAACUUACGCUAAUACCGCAUACGACCUACGGGUGAAAGCAGGGGAUCUUCGGACCUUGCGCGAUUGAAUGAGCCGAUGUCGGAUUAGCUAGUUGGCGGGGUAAAGGCCCACCAAGGCGACGAUCCGUAGCUGGUCUGAGAGGAUGAUCAGCCACACUGGAACUGAGACACGGUCCAGACUCCUACGGGAGGCAGCAGUGGGGAAUAUUGGACAAUGGGCGCAAGCCUGAUCCAGCCAUACCGCGUGGGUGAAGAAGGCCUUCGGGUUGUAAAGCCCUUUUGUUGGGAAAGAAAAGCAGCAGGUUAAUACCCCGCUGUUCUGACGGUACCCAAAGAAUAAGCACCGGCUAACUUCGUG
rnacentral:rRNA from 1 species